UGUAUUGCCUUUUUUUCAUUUAAGAUGAUAUUUUCUUGGUUCUCCCAGGUAUGAAGUGUGAUUUUCUAUUGUAUCCUGGACAUCUUGGGUCUUAUAUUAUCAGGCUGUGUAUUUUAUUACAUCAUCUAUUAUAUCAAGCCUCAAAUGGUACCGCAUGUAUGGGAAAAUGAAGAUAUCAUCUCAUGUUGCUAAGUGAAGGUGGAAGCAGCGGUUUCCCACUUAGCAUUAUUUAACACUGUCGAAGGAGAGAGGCAUUUUGUUGCUGCUGGGUAGGGCUGAAAGCUCAGGUUCCCCUUUGGUCCUCUGCUGACAGUACCUCACCUGGUAGAGUGAGGGCACCUCAUUACUAUUUUCUGUGUAUCUCCACCGACUCUGUGGCAGGGCAGGGGCACUGACCUCACUGCUGCUGAGUGGGAAUGAAAGUUCCAGCUCUCCACUUUGCCCUCAGUGACACCAGCCAGGACAGGAUGGGGCACAUUGUUAACUGAGUUUAGAAUUUCCCCCCAGAGUAAAUGACAUAGACACUUUCCCUGCAAUUCAACUACUCUACCUCUUAGUGACGUUCUUUAUUAUUGGAGUAUCCUGGAGGGAAUAUCACAAAAAUGAAAACAUGAAGAAAGAAAAAGGUAUGUUACCUUCAUCCAUGUACAAAGAUUUGACUAAUAACCUAAUUGAUUCUAAUUCUUAAUUCAUUUGUAAGUUGUAUAAAUUUAUUGGAAAUAAAUGAGCUUAUCUAAUCUUUUAUUAAGAGAAAGAAGUAAAAGGACAAUUUAUCUCCUCCCAAAUGGAAAAUAAAUAAUUGAAGAAAAGUCAGACCUGAUUUAUAUAAAAGCUAUGUUCUUGGUACAUUGGCAUUAUGUAAAAUGGAAUUUUGUCCAUAAAAGAAUUACUAUUCAUUUCUCUGUAAUUUUAUUUGUGAAU
ensembl:lncRNA